UACAAAGGGAAAGUCAAAUGCGAAAUUACAAAAAGAAAAAGUUAAGGCAUUAUAUGUCUUAAUUACAAUCCGCCCCAUACCGAACGAAUUCUUUCCCUAAGUUUUCCCCAGUCCUCGUUCUGCCGAGAGGAAGUGAUGUUCAAUUCGGCCACAACAUCAUCAUCAACUUCCAACUUCUUGUACUGUUCGACCAAAGACUUAGUUCGCUCAAUUUCUUGAGAGGCGUUACGCUUUUUAGCAGCCAUUCUCGCCUUGCAGUCGUCCAUUUUGGCUUGAAGUUCCUUCAUCUGAGCAGCCAAACUAGCCAUCAAAGAGUCUUCAAUCAUGACUU
rnacentral:lncRNA from 1 species